rnacentral:rRNA from 1 species
UACGUAGGGGGCGAGCGUUGUCCGGAUUUAUUGGGCGUAAAGAGCGCGUAGGCGGUCCGAUAAGUCGGCUGUGAAAGUCCAGGGCUCAACCCUGGGAAGCCGGCCGAUACUGUCGGACUAGAGUCCGGAAGAGGCAAGUGGAAUUCCCGGUGUAGCGGUGAAAUGCGCAGAUAUCGGGAGGAACACCAAUUGCGAAGGCAGCUUGCUGGGACGGUACUGACGCUGAGGCGCGAAAGCGUGGGGAGCAAACAGG